GCAGCAGUGAUGAAUAUUAGCAAUGGGAGAAAGCCUGACCCAGCGACGCCGCGUGGAGGAAGAAGGCCUUCGGGAAUAAACCCCUUUUGCAGGGGACGACACAGGACGGUCCCCUGAGAAUAAGCCACGGAUAACUGUGUCCCCGCAGCCGCGGUAAGAUAGAGGGGGCGAGCGUGCUGAGAUUCAGGGGUAAAAAGGGCGUAGUAGGUGGUUUUGUAACUGUAAGGAAGAAUUCCACAGCUUAAGUGGGGGAGUGUCUGAGAUACUGCAAGGCGUGAGCCAGGGAGGGGAGGGGAGAAUUCGCGGUGUAGCGGAAAAAUGUGUAGAUAUGGGGGAGAAGCCGUGGGGAGAAGGGGUCUCUGGGGGCGUGCAGUGGCAGUGGGGCGAGAAAGCGUGGGGAGCAAACGGGAUUAUAUCCCCUUGUGCCCACGCCAUA
rnacentral:rRNA from 1 species